GGGACUGUUUAGAGGAUUUCUAAACGUUUGGACAAGUUAAAAAUUAUAGUCAAAAGUACAACUCCGAUGCACAAGGGAAGGAAAGCAGAGAUUUAAUAAUCCAAAUGUGGAAUGUCUACAGUGAAUGCUAAGAUCAAGUAUGAUGAUACAAAAAGCAAACUACUUUUUCUUUUCCUAUUUUCCAGUAUCUGUUACUGCCAAAGAGAUAUACACAUAAUCCCCUUCAAAUCUGCUUUUUGACUGAGAUGCAGUCAGAAGUUUGUGAACCACUGGUUUUAGUGGCAAAGGAAGAUUAUUCAACCUUAAGAAACAGGUGUUAAAAAAAUCACUACUAUUCAACAAAAAGGAAACAUUUGUGAAGCCAAGGAGAAAGGAUAUUAUGUCAGGUGCAUCCUGGCUGCUGUGCUGAAAAGAGACUGAAGUGGGUACCACCGUAGGAAGAAGCAGGAGAGGGAGAGGCCUGGGUGCCUCCGCGGUUUAGUGCCUGCCGUUAGCCCGGAGCAUAAUCCUGGAGUCCGGGAUUGAGUCCCACAUCAGGCUCCCUGCAUGGAGGCUGCUUCUCCCUCUGCCUAUGUCUCUGCCUCUCUCUGUGUGUCUCUCAUGAAUAAAUAAAUAAAAUCUUAAAAGAAAAAAGAAAGAAAGAGGCAGGAGACAAACCACACUGCUGAAGUAAGGAUGAGGACUCAGGCCAGGUUGUAAGCGGUAUAGUGGGAGAGAAGCUGCUGGAUUCUGAAUUCGUGCUCAAGAAAGAGUCGAUGUGACUGUUAAUGGGCUGGCAAUGGCACGUGAGAGAAAGGGAGGAGGUGAGUCUGUCUCCAGGGUGUCAGACUGAGAAAUUAAAAGAAUGGAGUUGGCAUUUACUGAAUUGAAAGAUUUUUGAGAGAAUAAGACUUGAAGGUGAAAAGCUCGGCUUUAGAUGUGAAGUUGACAAGAUCCUGGUUUGACAUCCAAGUGAGGAGGUCAAGUUGGCAUUUGGAGAGGUGAUUCUGGAACUCAGAGGAAGGUCUGAGACUGUAAGUUAACAGUUCACUCUUGAUCUUUAUAAAUUCCAUUUUCUGACUGGUUCUUAGUACUCAUUCUUCAUCACCUAGCUAAUAAAAAACUUCCAAGUUGAUGAAAAUACCUGGGGAAGCUUUCUGACCCCAACCACCAAAACUCUCUUGACCUUUAAUUGCCUGUUCAGCAGGAUUCUAUCUCUCUGAAUCCAGGCAUAAUUUAUUAGGUUACUGGACAUUUUAAUCAAAGGCAUAUCACUGUCUUGCUUGACAAACAGAACAUGAGAAAGAAAUGGACUUCGGUAUGUCCAUUUUACUUUUAGAGAAGUUUGUCAUGUAUUAUUAGACUAAGGUUUUUGACCUUUCUCCAGCA